AUUAAAUUCCAUGUAACAAUGGAAAAUUUCUCCUGAGAAACAAAUUAACAUUAUAACCAAGGAAAAAGGGGGAUUUGAAUUUGAUCUCAGAAACAAGAUAAAUGAAGAUAAUUACAUUCAUUAGACAUAAACAUAACAGCUUACAAAGAUUAAUUUUCGGGAAAAUUAGAUGAAGAUGGUUCAAAAAGAAAAUACAGUUCAUAGACAAAUUUGAUGAACAAACCAACUGCUACCCACUCUCCGGAAGCCAAAAGGAAUCCUUCUUGUCUGUACACAAAAGUUGCAGGUUUUUUUUUUCCCCUUUUUCUUGUUUCUUUCUUUUCGCCAGUUCCACAAAACAGAGAGAUACUUUGACAUCUCUCUCCAUGUACUAUUUACACAGUAAUUACCAAAGUUCCAAAAGUCUUCAACUUCGUAUUCACAGAGUCAGGGAGAAGAAUCGGAGGCCACCGAAAAUAAUUAUCCAUUAGAAAACAGCAUAAAGAAUUAAAUUCCAUGCAGAUUUGACUCGGAUUCAGCUUCACUUUACCAGCUCAGAAACCCAACCAACAUCGGGUGCUGAUGCGCCUGGCUCAGCCCGGUGCAGUGAGUUUUCUUUGCUGAGCUUCGCAUAUAUCUUGGCUCUCAGGUCCCUUCCAGAUUCCACCCUCUCCAUUGCGGGCUCUUCCUCCAUACUUGGGUCCCAGAAGUCCAGCUGACCGACUCCAGGACGACUCAUUGUCCGGGUUGGAGUGGAAGGGAGACUGCAGAACCCGGGGCGUAGAGACGAUCCGCGAGGCGACCCAAACCCGGAUCCGUUCUGCAUGCCCCAAGAUGCAGGCCCCACUUUCAUCUUACCGACCUGCAAACCACGCAUACAGGCAACGAGCUCGCUCAUCGAGUUAAAAGACCCACCAACCACCUGCGGGCUACUAGGCGAAAUUGGCGGCGAAUCCGAUGGCGGAGACAUAGGCGGAGAAGUUAAAAUCGAGGUUGGUGAAGAGACGAACGAGCCCGCCUUAGUCAAGUAUGAGUCAAAAUGGUGCCUCAAAGGGGAGCCAACCUCCACGUCACCCGAUCCGGAACCGUUUCCCCUCGGGCUCUGUUGUGGCAAAACCCGAAGUUGAUCGGGAGUAUGGGCAAAGAAACAGACCCGGCGGCGACAAGCUGGACCAUCCUUGCAUGGUUGAGUGCGAUAUCGAGCCGGAUGAAGCCAACACUCAAAAACCCCAUGAGCAUACUCACACAUAUCACCACGCCUGCAAGCCCCUUUACGAAAAUCAGGGCAGGGCACACAACUGUAAUGAAACUUCCGUGGGUCUCUUCUCCGUGCAUUCUCUCCUGGGUGAACAAAUGGGCACUCCGUCCAGUCAUGUGAGUAUGCCCGAGAACAUGGGCGCACCUUGAAGGAGUACAUGCGAAACUCAUCUGUUGCAUAGAUGCUGUUCUUGAUGUCAGGGAGCGAUGGAUCAAUUGGAUAUUCUUUCUUCUCAGCAGUACUUAUUGGCAGAUCAUUGUACUUUGAGGCCAUUGGAGAAGAUACCAACACAGAAGGAGAAGAUGGUGAGCCAUUUUCUGGGGAUGAUGAAAGGGUUGGUGAGCUAGUAUUAGAGGUUCUUAAUGACAUCAGCAGAUGCGAGCAGUCACCAACAGAGACAUUAGAAGAAUGCUCACCAACAAACCCAUUAGAAUUAUGCUCACCUGAUGAACCAUUAGAAACAGUGUUUGAGAGAAGCUCUUCCAGAGCAACUCUCAGGCUAUGCAGCUUUGGCGGAACAAUAAUAACAUCAAUGGGGCGAUAGCCAUUACCAUCUAGGCAAUUCGGAUCUGCACCUGCAGAUAAAAGCAGUUUAACAACAUCAACAGCAUUAAGAGGUCCACCAGAAGCAGCACAGUGAAGUGCAGUGGCUUUGUCCAUCCCACAUGAGAGAUUAACAUCAGCAUCUGUAUGAGCAAGUAUAAACUUAAGAACAUCAAGACUGCCAUAUGUAGCAGCAACCAUUAGUGGUGUUCUAUGGUCAAGAACAAUAUUCUUUGAUCCCUUUUGCCGGCCAUACCAGUACCCAACCUCAUCAAUUGAGGAAGCAUCACGCUCUAUCAACAGCUUAAAGCCUUCAACAUCAUUGUUAGCCGCAAGGUCAAGUAAACAGGAAAAAGAGUCUCCAAUUUCAACAGUUAAAUGAUUCAUAUCUUUGGCGUUGGGUCUGUUUUUCUACAGUAGAUGAAGAUGGAGCAGAUAACUUUGAUGAUCGAUCUGGACCACCACACAUGCUUCAAUUAGCUGGAAAUCCAACCAAAAAGAAUUCAGAAUUCAUUUCAAAAACUUAAAUUUAUCAUCAGAUACACAUGGGAUGCAGAUUUGAUCUAAUAACACCGCAAUGAUUGAACAAAUCAUAGUAAGAAACAGUGUAGAGAAAUUAAACCACAGAACAAUACUUUUUAAGUACUUCAAAAAAAAAUUGAAGGAAGAAAAUUCCCUCAAUAGAGCUAAAAUUACAUAUAAAUCCUGCCUAAUUUACCACUAUUUGAGUUUAGCAAAAUGCAAAAAUUACAAGGGCAAAAAUACCUUAAUUUGUUGCCAUUAAAAGAAAAAAUGUCUGGCUGUAGGCAUGAAAUCAGACAUAAUAAGUAGGAGACACGAUCUUUUGUUAAAUGUAAGCCAAAACAAUAUAUACCAAUCAAUGACACUCUAGAAUGAUAAGAAAAAUUGGGAUGCAAAGCUAAAGUAAACUAAGCUAGAAGAUGAUCAACAAAAGGAAUAUUGGCUCAUGUCAUGUUAAAAGAUCUGGUGACAAUCGAGAAUCAUCCAAAUUAACCACUAUUCCUGUGUAAAUUUAACACGAGCAUAGAUUCUUAUUCUCUAGAUGAGGAAUUUCGGAUAUGAUCAAGAACAUAACAAGAAUCUAUCAUCAAUGUGCAGGAAUAAAAUCAUUAGAUAUUAUUGGAGAAUCCCAAAAACACAACAAUGACACCUCAAAGGUAUUUACCGUAAGGAAAUAAAUUCACCCCAACCAACGCAACAAACAUAACACUUCCCCAUCUGCAGGCCACGCAUCAACAUAAAAAGAGCAAACUUUAAAACCAACACAAAUUACAAAAAAAAAUUGUCAAAUAUAUAUUAACAAAAUCUGAUAUGACCAAAAGAUCAAGCGUUAGAUAAUUCUUUUUCAUUUUCCCUCCACUUGCUAGACAAUAAAUCAAAAAAAAAUAUAUCAAGCCAUCAGCUAAAGGUCACUACAAUCCCCAAAUUUCAUCACCAAGACAUACUACAAUAAGAUCACUAAACGUUAUAGAUAGAACUAAAUAGAAAACCACAAUACCAAACAAUAAUCAACUCAACAACCCAAUUCAAAUCCCACUUAGCUAAUGAUACCUUCAAUGAAUAUUUACUCUUUUAAUAAACACUCUCUCAAUGCAAGCUGAAAAGUCAAAUGACAACGCAAAUCAACUGAACUAGACUACCGAUCAUCGUUACAAACUUAAUUACCUAAAAAUAAGAAAUCAAUGCACAAUCAAAAACGGAUUUAAACAUGUAUUAACUCACUGAUUGUCGAAUUUGAAGCUAGGAUCAGCUUAAUAACUUAGAAAACAACAGAUCCAGAUAAUAAGCUUCAACUCAUACUUGAUCUAGAGCUAAAACAUCAAAAGGCGAUGCAGGCUGCAGUGUAGCAGAUGAAAGUCUAAGAAGCAAAACGACGCUUGCAGCUUCUAUCUCCAUCGAUAAAACCAAGAAGAGAGGAAGGAAGGAAGGAAGAAAGAAAGAAAGAGAGGAACUUGUUGCAGAUAGAGAGGAGCUGAGAGUAAGAAAAUGAAAGGAAAACUUUCCUUUGUUGCAGAAAGAGAAACAGAGAGAGAGAGUAAUGCCUCGAAAUUGAAAUGGAAAUGAAAUGCAGAGAAAUUUGGGACGAAUUUAAAUUUAAUCCCGGAGAUAUUGGGGGGAGAGAGAGGGAGGGCAGUGGAAAG
rnacentral:misc_RNA from 1 species